rnacentral:miRNA from 1 species
CGGCCUAACUGGAGCCCUGUCU